rnacentral:rRNA from 1 species
UACAGAGGGGCAAGCGUUGUUCGGAAUUACUGGGCGUAAAGGGCGCGUAGGCGGCCUUCUAAGUCGAACGUGAAUCCCUGGGCUCAACCCAGGAACUGCGUCCGAUACUGGAAGGCUUGAAUCCGGGAGAGGGAUGCGGAAUUCCAGGUGUAGCGGUGAAAUGCGUAGAUAUUGGGAGGAACACCAGUGGCGAAGGCGGCUCACUGGACCGGUUCUGACGCUGAUGCGCGAAAGCGUGGGAGCAAACGGG